GUCGAACGCGCAGCAUUCUGUAGCAAUACAGGGUGUGGGCGCGUGGCGAACGGGUGCGUAACACGUGGAUAACCUUCCUUGAGGUGGGGAAUAACCCAGUGAAAAUUGGGCUAAUACCGCAUAACAUCGCGAUGGCACAUGCUGAUGCGAUCAAAGGCGCAAGUCGCCACAAGAGGGAUCCGCGGCCGAUUAGCUAGUUGGCGAGGUAAUGGCUCACCAAGGCAAUGAUCGGUAGCCGGACUGAGAGGUUGGCCGGCCACACUGGAACUGAGACACGGUCCAGACUCCUACGGGAGGCAGCAGUGGGGAAUCUUGCACAAUGGACGAAAGUCUGAUGCAGCAACGCCGCGUGGGGGAUGAAGCUUCUCGGAGUGUAAACCCCUUUCGACCCGGAAGAAUGCCCGCAAGGGUAUGACGGUACGGGUAUAAGAAGCCCCGGCUAACUACGUGCCAGCAGCCGCGGUAAUACGUAGGGGGCCAGCGUUGCUCGGAAUUACUGGGCGUAAAGGGUCCGUAGGCGGUGUAGCAAGUCGAUAGUGAAAUCUCUGCGCUUAACGCAGAAGCUGCUAACGAAACUGCUGUGCUAGAGUGUGAGAGAGGCGAGUGGAAUUACGGGUGUAGCGGUGAAAUGCGUAGAUAUCCGUAGGAACAUCCGAGGCGAAGGCGGCUCGCUGGAUCACAACUGACGCUGA
rnacentral:rRNA from 1 species